rnacentral:rRNA from 1 species
GAUGAACGCUGGCGGCGUGCCUAAUACAUGCAAGUCGAGCGAACGGACGAGAAGCUUGUUUCUCUGCGGUUAGCGGCGGACGGGCGAGUAACACGUGGAUAACCUACCUAUAAGACUGGGAUAACUUCGGGAAACCGCAGCUAAUACCGGAUAAUACUUUGAACCGCAUGGUUCAAAAGUGAUAGACGGUCUUGCCGUCUCUUUUAGCUGGAUCCGCGCUGCAUUAGCUAGUUGGUAAGGUAACGGCUUACCAAGGCGACGAUGCAUAGCCGACCUGAGAGGGUGAUCGGCCACACUGGAACUGAGACACGGUCCAGACUCCUACGGGAGGCAGCAGUAGGGAAUCUUCCGCAAUGGGCGAAAGCCUGACGGAGCAACGCCGCGUGAGUGAUGAAGGUCUUCGGAUCGUAAAACUCUGUUAUUAGGGAAGAACAUAUGUGUAAUUAACUGUGCACAUCUUGACGGUACCUAAUCAGAAAGCCACGGCUAACUACGUG